rnacentral:rRNA from 1 species
UUUUAUGGAGAGUUUGAUCCUGGCUCAGGAUGAACGCUGGCGGCGUGCCUAAUACAUGCAAGUCGAGCGAACGGACGAGAAGCUUGCUUCUCUGAUGUUAGCGGCGGACGGGUGAGUAACACGUGGAUAACCUACCUAUAAGACUGGGAUAACUUCGGGAAACCGGAGCUAAUACCGGAUAAUAUUUUGAACCGCAUGGUUCAAAAGUAAAAGACGGUCUUGCUGUCACUUAUAGAUGGAUCCGCGCUGCAUUAGCUAGUUGGUAAGGUAACGGCUUACCAAGGCAACGAUGCAUAGCCGACCUGAGAGGGUGAUCGGCCACACUGGAACUGAGACACGGUCCAGACUCCUACGGGAGGCAGCAGUAGGGAAUCUUCCGCAAUGGGCGAAAGCCUGACGGAGCAACGCCGCGUGAGUGAUGAAGGUCUUCGGAUCGUAAAACUCUGUUAUUAGGGAAGAACAUAUGUGUAAGUAACUGUGCACAUCUUGACGGUACCUAAUCAGAAAGCCACGGCUAACUACGUGCCAGCAGCCGCGGUAAUACGUAGGUGGCAAGCGUUAUCCGGAAUUAUUGGGCGUAAAGCGCGCGUAGGCGGUUUUUUAAGUCUGAUGUGAAAGCCCACGGCUCAACCGUGGAGGGUCAUUGGAAACUGGAAAACUUGAGUGCAGAAGAGGAAAGUGGAAUUCCAUGUGUAGCGGUGAAAUGCGCAGAGAUAUGGAGGAACACCAGUGGCGAAGGCGACUUUCUGGUCUG